GACGAACGCUGGCGGCGCGCCUAACACAUGCAAGUCGAACGGAGCUGAGAGAAGCUUGCUUUUCUUAGCUUAGUGGCGAACGGGUGAGUAACGCGUGAGUAACCUGCCCUGGAGUGGGGGACAACAGUUGGAAACGACUGCUAAUACCGCAUAAGCCCACGAUCCGGCAUCGGAUUGAGGGAAAAGGAUUUAUUCGCUUCAGGAUGGACUCGCGUCCAAUUAGCUAGUUGGUGAGGUAACGGCCCACCAAGGCGACGAUUGGUAGCCGGACUGGGAGGUUGAACGGCCACAUUGGGACUGAGACACGGCCCAGACUCCUACGGGAGGCAGCAGUGGGGGAUAUUGCACAAUGGGGGAAACCCUGAUGCAGCGACGCCGCGUGGAGGAAGAAGGUUUUCGGAUUGUAAACUCCUGUCGUGAGGGACGAUAAUGACGGUACCUAACAAGAAAGCACCGGCUAACUACGUG
rnacentral:rRNA from 1 species